CCUCCAACCCCCCAGCCAGCAACUCCUAAUCCAUCAAUCAUGGUUGUAUGAGAAUCAGUUCCAACCACACUAUCAGGGUAGAGUGUGCCAUCAGUGUUGAAAACAACCCGUCCAAGGUAUUCAAGAUUCACCUGAUGCACAAUACCAGAACCUGGAGGAACUACAAGCAUAUUAUGGAAAGCAUUUGAUCCCCAUUUAAGAAAAGCAAAUCUCUCCUUGUUCCUCUGAAAUUCAAGCUCCAUAUUUGCCUGCACCGCAUUUUCUGAUCGUGUCACAUCAACUUGAACCGAAUGAUCAAUAACCAAAUCUACAGGAACCAGAGGAUUGAUCUUGUUGGAAUCACCACCAAGGUUGCUCAUGGCAUCACGCAUAGAAGCAAGGUCCACAACAGCUGGUACUCCAGUAAAAUCCUGCAAGAGAACACGGGCAGGCUUGAAGGGAAUUUCAACUUGUUUUGGUGAUGAAUUUUCCCAAUCAAUGAUUUUUUCAACAUCUUCUUUGGUGACUUGGAAGUUGUCACAGUUACGAAUUGCAGAUUCAAGAAGGAUUCUGACUGAAUAGGGCAGUUUAUCAAUUCUUGGAUCAUUUAAUGCAGGAAGACUAUAGAACUUCCCAAAUUCACCACCGCCUGGUUUUGGGAGAGAUGUAAAGAUUCCCUUAAAAGGAUUUUCAGGAGCCAUAGUAGCUAUCUUUCGUUGAAAUCGUUCGAUCACAGGAGCAACAGCUCUGAUCUGGGACCGGAGACUAACCGGAGACCGCCAAUCGACACCGUGACUCCAGCGAGGAACCGAGCACCGAAGGGAUCUAACGGCAGCAGAGAAGCUGAGAGAUCGGUGCUGAGUAGUAUUAGCGAAAGACGAAGGAGAGACCUUAGGAGGCGGAGAAGUGAGAGCCGAGGCUCUAGUAAUGGAGGAAGAGAGAGAAGAGGAAAGUCUAGCCCUAGACGCUCUGAGGAGCGAAGAGGCUGAGGUUGAAGCCGUCAUAUACAUGACGAAUUUCACAUAAAAAAGCUCAAAUUUGCAGAUAAGAUGAAGGUGAGAGAGACAAAGAAAGAUGAUUGCAGAGAUGAGGAAGAAAGCUAACAGUUUCUGUCUACACGAUUUGAUGAUUUAAGAGAGAGAGAGAGAGAGAGAGGGAGAG
rnacentral:misc_RNA from 1 species